rnacentral:rRNA from 1 species
UAUCGCUUAAGGAUGAGUCCGCGUCCCAUUAGCUAGUUGGCGGGGUAACGGCCCACCAAGGCGACGAUGGGUAGCCGGUCUGAGAGGAUGACCGGCCACACUGGAACUGGAACACGGUCCAGACUCCUACGGGAGGCAGCAGUGGGGAAUAUUGCGCAAUGGGCGAAAGCCUGACGCAGCGACGCCGCGUGAGGGAUGAAGGUUCUCGGAUCGUAAACCUCUGUCAGGGGGGAGGAAACCCCCUCGUGUGAAUAAUGCGAGGGCUUGACGGUACCCCCAAAGGAAGCACCGGCUAACUCCGUGCCAGCAGCCGCGGUAAUACGGAGGAUGCAAGCGUUAUCCGGAUUUAUUGGGUUUAAAGGGUGCGUAGGCGGCACGCCAAGUCAGCGGUGAAAUUUCCGGGCUCAACCCGGACUGUGCCGUUGAAACUGGCGAGCUAGAGUGCACAAGAGGCAGGCGGAAUGCGUGGUGUAGCGGUGAAAUGCAUAGAUAUCACGCAGAACCCCGAUUGCGAAGGCAGCCUGCUAGGGUGAAACAGACGCUGAGGCACGAAAGCGUGGGUAUCGAACAGGAUUAGAUACCCUGGUAGUCCACGCAGUAAACGAUGAAUACUAACUGUUUGCGAUAUACAGUAAGCGGCCAAGCGAAAGCAUUAAGUAUUCCACCUGGGGAGUACGCCGGCAACGGUGAAACUCAAAGGAAUUGACGGGGGCCCGCACAAGCGGAGGAACAUGUGGUUUAAUUCGAUGAUACGCGAGGAACCUUACCCGGGCUUAAAUUGCAACCGAAUAUGGCGGAAACGCUAUAGCUAGCAAUAGCGGUUGUGAAGGUGCUGCAUGGUUGUCGUCAGCUCGUGCCGUGAGGUGUCGGCUUAAGUGCCAUAACGAGCGCAACCCUUGCCGAUAGUUACUAACAGGUUAUGCUGAGGACUCUGUCGGGACUGCCAUCGUAAGAUGUGAGGAAGGUGGGGAUGACGUCAAAUCAGCACGGCCCUUACGUCCGGGGCUACACACGUGUUACAAUGGGGGGUACAGAGGGCUGCUACCACGCAAGUGGAUGCCAAUCCCAAAAACCUCUCUCAGUUCGGAUUGAAGUCUGCAACCCGACUUCAUGAAGCUGGAUUCGCUAGUAAUCGCGCAUCAGCCACGGCGCGGUGAAUACGUUCCCGGGCCUUGCACUCACAGCCCGUCAAG